AAGAAUUUCGGUAUGGGGUGGGGAUGCGUUCCAUUAGUUAGUUGGCGGGGUAACGGCCCACCAAGACAACGAUGGAUAGGGGUUCUGAGAGAAAGGUCCCCCACAUUGGAACUGAGACACGGUCCAAACUCCUACGGGAGGCAGCAGUGAGGAAUAUUGGUCAAUGGACGAGAGUCUGAACCAGCCAAGUAGCGUGAAGGAUGACUGCCCUAUGGGUUGUAAACUUCUUUUAUAUGGGAAUAAAAUGUUCCACGUGUGGGAUUUUGUAUGUACCAUAUGAAUAAGGAUCGGCUAACUCCGUGCCAGCAGCCGCGGUAAUACGGAGGAUCCGAGCGUUAUCCGGAUUUAUUGGGUUUAAAGGGAGCGUAGGUGGAUUGUUAAGUCAGUUGUGAAAGUUUGCGGCUCAACCGUAAAAUUGCAGUUGAAACUGGCAGUCUUGAGUACAGUAGAGGUGGGCGGAAUUCGUGGUGUAGCGGUGAAAUGCUUAGAUAUCACGAAGAACUCCGAUUGCGAAGGCAGCUCACUGGACUGCAACUGACACUGAGGCUCGAAAGUGUGGGUAUCAAACAGGAUUAGAUACCCUGGUAGUCCACACAGUAAACGAUGAAUACUCGCUGUUUGCGAUAUACAGUAA
rnacentral:rRNA from 1 species